rnacentral:lncRNA from 1 species
GACGUAUGUAAACCCCUAAAGAAAGUGAAAAGAAUCAAAAAGUCUGGAGGUAUUUUAGUUGAGGUUAACUUCAAGUAUGAACGUUUGGGAAUCUUUUGUUACGUAUGUGGAAUGAUGUGGCAUGUUGAAGAAUCCGGCCAGAAAUUCUUGGCCAUGAAAGAGGAUGAUGGAGCUUGAUCACUUACGAAUGCCAUAUGCAUAACUUCUCAACAAACUUCAUGAUUAGUGUUGAAAUCUAUAAGAUUGGCUCCC